rnacentral:rRNA from 1 species
GACGAACGCUGGCGGCGUGCCUAAUACAUGCAAGUCGAGCGCAGGAAGCCGUCUGAACCCUUCGGGGGGACGACGGUGGAAUGAGCGGCGGACGGGUGAGUAACACGUAAAGAACCUGCCCAUAGGUCUGGGAUAACCACGAGAAAUCGGGGCUAAUACCGGAUGUGUCAUCGGACCGCAUGGUCCGCUGAUGAAAGGCGCUCCGGCGUCGCCCAUGGAUGGCUUUGCGGUGCAUUAGCUAGUUGGUGGGGGAACGGCCCACCAAGGCGAAGAGGCAUAGCCGACAUGGGAGGGUGAACAGCCACAGUGGGACUGCGACACGGCCCAGAGUCCUACGGGAGGCAGCAGUAGGGAAUCUUCGACAAUGGACGAAAGGCUGAGGGGGCAAGGCCGCGUGAACGAUGAAGGCUUUCGGGUCGUAAAGUUCUGUUGUAAGGGAAGAACAAGUGCCGCAGGCAAUGGCGGCACCUUGACGGUACCUUGCGAGAAAGCCACGGCUAACUACGUGCCAGCCGCCGCAGUAAAAC